rnacentral:rRNA from 2 species
UGGGGAAUAUUGCGCAAUGGGGGGAACCCUGACGCAGCAACGCCGCGUGAAGGAAGAAGGCUUUCGGGUUGUAAACUUCUUUGAUGAGGGACGAAGAAAGUGACGGUACCUCAGGAACAAGCCACGGCUAACUACGUGCCAGCAGCCGCGGUAAUACGUAGGUGGCGAGCGUUAUCCGGAAUUACUGGGUGUAAAGGGCGCGCAGGCGGGGAUGCAAGUCAGAUGUGAAAUACCGGUGCUUAACACCGGGGCUGCAUCUGAAACUGUGUUUCUUGAGUGUCGGGGAGGGAAGCGGAAUUCCCAGUGUAGCGGUGAAAUGCGUAGAUAUUGGGAGGAACACCAGUGGCGAAGGCGGCUUUCUGGACGACAACUGACGCUGAGGCGCGAAAGCGUGGGGAGCAAACAGG